CUGGAGUUCAGGAGAGGUGUGUGGAAUUCCGAGUGUAGAGGUGAAAUUCGUAGAUAUUCGGAGGAACACCAGAGGCGAAGGCGACACACUGGCUUGAUACUGACGCUGAGGCGCGUAAGCGUGGGGAGCAAACAGGAUUAGAUAUCCUGGUAGUCCACGCCGUAAACGAUGAGAGCUAGUUGUCGGGCGGCAUGCCGUUCGGUGACGCAGCUAACGCAUUAAGCUCUCUGCCUGGGGAGUACGACCGCAAGGUUAAAACUCAAAGAAAUUGACGGGGGCCCGCACAAUCGGUGGAGCAUGUGGUUUAAUUCGAAGCAACGCGAAGAACCUUACCUGCGCUUGUCAUCCUGGUCUCGAUUUCCGGAGACGGUUUUCUUCAGUUAGGCUGGACCAGUGACAGGUGCUGCAUGGCUGUGGUCAGCUUGUGUCGUGAGAUGUUGGGUUAAGUCCCGCAACGAGCGCAACCCUCGUCGUUAGUUGCCAGCACGUCUGGGUGGGCACUCUAACGAGACUGCCGGUGUCAAACCGGAGGAAGGUGGGGAUGACGUCAAGUCAUCAUGGCCCUUACGCGCAGGGCUACACACGUGCUACAAUGGCGGUGACAGUGAGUUAAUCUCAAAAAACCGUCUCAGUUCGAAUUGGGGUCUGCAACUCGACCCC
rnacentral:rRNA from 1 species